rnacentral:rRNA from 1 species
GACGAACGCUGGCGGCGUGCUUAACACAUGCAAGUCGAACGAAGUGGCGAACGGGUGAGUAAUACGUGGGUAACCUGCCCUCCUUUUUGGGAUAAGCCUUGGAAACGGGGUCUAAUACCGAAUAAAGGGGGAUGGGCUCGCGGCCUAUCAGCUUGUUGGUGGGGUGAUGGCCUACCAAGGCGGUGACGGGUAGCCGGCCUGAGGGGGUAACUGGCCAUAUGGGGACUGGGAUACGGCGCAGACUCCUACGGGAGGGAGAAGUGGGGGAUAUGGUACAAUGGGCGAAAGCCUGAUGCAGCGACGCCGAGAGGGGGAUGAGGGCUUUCGGGUUGUAAACCUCUUUAGCUAUCGAACGGGUAGGUAGAGAAGAAGCGCCGGCUAACUACGUGCCAGCAGCCGCGGUAAUAC